rnacentral:rRNA from 1 species
AGAGUUUGAUCCUGGCUCAGGAUGAACGCUAGCGACAGGCCUAACACAUGCAAGUCGAGGGGUAACAUGAGUGCUUGCACUUGAUGACGACCGGCGCACGGGUGCGUAACGCGUAUGCAACUUACCUUGUACUGGGGAAUAGCCCGUGGAAACGCGGAUUAAUGUCCCAUAACACUACAAUUUCGCAUGGAAAAGUGGUUAAAGUUCCGACGGUACAAGAUGGGCAUGCGUGACAUUAGCUAGUUGGUGAGGUAAGGGCUCACCAAGGCGACGAUGUCUAGGGGUUCUGAGAGGAAGGUCCCCCACACUGGUACUGAGACACGGACCAGACUCCUACGGGAGGCAGCAGUGAGGAAUAUUGGUCAAUGGGCGCAAGCCUGAACCAGCCAUGUCGCGUGCAGGAAGACUGCCCUACGGGUUGUAAACUGCUUUUGUAUGGGAAGAAACGUUGGUACGUGUACCAAUUUGCCGGUACCAUACGAAUAAGGAUCGGCUAACUCCGUGCCAGCAGCCGCGGUAAUACGGAGGAUCCAAGCGUUAUCCGGAUUUAUUGGGUUUAAAGGGUGCGUAGGCGGUAGAAUAAGUCAGUGGUGAAAUCCUGCAGCUUAACUGUAGAACUGCCAUUGAUACUGUUUUACUUGAGUGUAAUUGAGGUAGGCGGAAUGUGUUGUGUAGCGGUGAAAUGCAUAGAUAUAACACAGAACACCGAUUGCGAAGGCAGCUUACUAAGUUAUAACUGACGCUGAUGCACGAAAGCGUGGGUAGCGAACAGGAUUAGAUACCCUGGUAGUCCACGCCGUAAACGAUGAUUACUCGCUGUAGGCAAUACACCGUCUGUGGCUGAGCGAAAGCAUUAAGUAAUCCACCUGGGGAGUACGUUGGCAACAAUGAAACUCAAAGGAAUUGACGGGGGCCCGCACAAGCGGAGGAACAUGUGGUUUAAUUCGAUGAUACGCGAGGAACCUUACCUGGACUUAAAUGUAGAUUGACGUAUCCAGAGAUGGAUAUUUCUUCGGACAAUUUACAAGGUGCUGCAUGGUUGUCGUCAGCUCGUGCCGUGAGGUGUCGGGUUAAGUCCCAUAACGAGCGCAACCCCUGUUGUUAGUUACCAGCACAUCAUGGUGGGGACUCUAACAAGACUGCCGGUGUAAACCGCGAGGAAGGUGGGGAUGACGUCAAAUCAGCACGGCCCUUACGUCCAGGGCUACACACGUGUUACAAUGGCCGGUACAGAGGGCAGCUACUUGGUGACAAGAUGCGAAUCUCAAAAACCGGUCUCAGUUCGGAUCGAAGUCUGCAACCCGACUUCGUGAAGCUGGAUUCGCUAGUAAUCGCAUAUCAGCCAUGAUGCGGUGAAUACGUUCCCGGGCCUUGUACACACCGC